GCGUUUCAAAUGCCGGAUUUGCCAAAUCCGAUUAUAGAUGCCCUAAGUUAAGCAUGUGGGAUCCAUUCAUCGUUUGAGAAGGGAAGGGAUAUUUGUUCAAGAUGCGCGCGCCACUGCACAUGAGUCCUGCACGCUGGACAUAUACCGAACUAACAGUACUGCCGCAUCAUCACCACUCACCUAAUACCACAACAAUCCACGCAAAUAUAUUCGAUGCUGUACUAACCAAAAGCAACGGAUUAACAAAGUUUUACAGGUGCGCUUGUGAGUUUGUCCGUUCUUGACAGUACAGCAGGGCCCGCAUGCAGACGCUAAUCGUGAGCCGUCCGUUCCACGCAUCGCUGUCCCUCGUCGACAAAAACAAGCGAGCGUGAUUAAUCUGGUUGGCUAAUUGUAGCAUAAUUAAACGUAAAUUAAGCUACAGUGACAGUACACAUCGGACGACGAUGGGCGUACGACUGGAAUCUCGGUCGUAUUUGACAUCAUAUAUGCACAGUAGUACGAGACGAGAGAGCACAUGCAAAAUGGCGAGCAUCAAAGGGAGGAGCGAAAGAAAUCGCACGCCUUCUGGAGGCAUCUACGUAUGUUCGCACGUACAAAUACAUGCAUGGCUCAAUUUCCAAGUUCUAGAACAUCAACAGGAUGAACAGUAUAAUUGCAUGUGCAUGCACAUUUACUAGAUUGAAAGCAUAUCAAUAUAUACAUAGAAAUGCAGCCUGUGAGAUACGCAGAUACAUACCGGUAAUACACCUGUGAGCACAUCCAUCUGCUGAAAGCAUUUCUAACCGAUCCAAUAUAUUUCCUUAGUUUCUAACCGAUCCCAUAUAUAUCCUUAGUAGAGUAAAUUUGGCUUCUUACUCCACUAAGUUUGACCUAGCCGAUCCCUAUAUGGCUUAGUGGAAUAAAUAUUUUACUCCGUUCCUAAAAAUCUAAGUAUAUUUACUCCAUCGUUGCGCGGCCGAGUAAAAUCGGUGCCUCUUCCCCCCCGCAUCGCCUCCGACACGCUCCCCGCCCUCCCCCACCCCUCCGAUGGCCGGACGUGGUGGCCGCCAGUCUGCGCCGCUACGCGCGCAGUCGUCCUCCGUGGGCUCUUCAUCGAGCCGCUGUCGCUGGUCGCCCGAUCUGCCCGCCGCCGCGCCCCUACACCGGUUCGAGGACUUUCCCGUCCUCCCUCCGCCUCGGCCGUCGAUGAGGACCUACCUCGGGGUCCGGCAGCAACACUGGGGGACAUGGGUGGCCGAAAUCACGGAUCGGGAGACCCACACCAAGCGGUGGCUCGGGACCUUCCACAUGACCGAGAUCGCGGCCAUGGAAUACGACCGCUGACAGGUCCACUUCCACGGUGAGGCGGCUCGGCUCAAUUUCCUACCAAGGCACACGUCCGGUCCACCUCAUCCCGCCGGAGCCGGGGGGUGGUGAGCUCGGCUAUGGCGCGGGAGGACCGCGAGGUGAGGGAGUGCCUCGAGGUUGAUGCCGCCGACGAGGCCUACAUGGAAGAGCUUGGCCGGGAGCACCUGGAGCGGAUGAUCUUUGCCAACGCCAGCGGCGAGGUUAUCGUUAUCUCCUCCUCCGACGAGGUCCAAGGCGGCGAGGUGGAUGGCCACGACGAGGAGAUCGACGUCGACGAGUGGAGGAGUGUCUUCGCCGACGACCCCGACGACGGCACCGGUCCGGACCGGCUCGACGGCUCGCGGCACACCGUACUUGACAAGGAAGGGUUGGCUCGACGUCCACUUCGACCGAAAGUAGUUUAGUUGCUUUUGUUUAGUUUAAAUUUAUGUUUUAUGUUCGGUUGUGCAAAACUAUCUAUGUUUAUAUUUGAAUGCAUGCUACUUUCUGUUCAAAUUGCAAUUUGAUCAAAUUGAAGUUUACUUCGUUAAGUUUAGGGGAUCGGCUAAAAACGGCCAAAAAUUAGUGGAGUAUAUAUACUCCACUAAGGCUUCGUUUGACACGAGAGGUUUCGGGGGGAAUCGAGUGGAUUUUCCACGCGUGGCCCAGAACCCUCUACAAUCCUCUGAUUCCCCACGAGGUUUCGGUGGGAAUCGAGUGGAUUUUCCACACGAGGUUUCGGUGGCCCAAUCCACCUGAUUCCCCCUCGAUCCGCCUCAACCCACGCGGGUCAGAAGGCACGAGGAGGCCCUCGAGGAAUUGGAGCUACGCACGAGACCGAGCCUUCUCCUCGCGCCACCGUCGGCAGCAGCCGUCCUCGCGGAGGGGAUGCGUGGCUGUAGGGGAUGUGUGGCUGAAGCAGAAUUUAAGCUUUCAAGGGGAUUGGGUGAAAGAGGGGGAUUCACCAAAUCUCCUUAAAUCCACUUCUCCCAAAACCCCCACGAUCCCUUCCUGUCAAACAAAGUCUGGUCAGAAGGCACGAGGAGGCCCUCGAGGAAUUGGAGCCACGCACGAGACCGAGCCUUCUCCUCGCGCCACCGUCGGCAGCAGCCGUCCUCGCGGAGGGGAUGCGUGGCUGGAGGGGAUGUGUGGCUGAAGAAGAAUUUAAGCUUUCAAGGGGAUUGGGUGAAAGAGGGGGAUUCACCAAAUCUCCUUAAAUCCACUUCUCCCAAAACCCCCACGAUCCCUUCCUGUCAGACAAAGUCUAAGGGUUUUACUCCGUUAACUUUUAGGGGAUCGGCUAGAGAUGGCCUAAAGUGAUUAUGUGAUUCGAACCACACUAAAUCAUGUUCAUAAUGACCAUACUGUUGAUCGCUAGCUGUGUUUUGAAUAUAAACAGAAGCGCAAGACAAGGGAAGGACUAUACCUGAUAGUUGACCAUACAUGAGUACUGCAUCCUUGUAACAGCAAUUGCUCUACCAAAUUAAGACCAGGUUCUCUUGGUUCACACGGCUAAAGUGGAUUGUACAAAUAAUUGUGUCCCCCACCUUGCCUUCUCUGUUGCACCUCAACGGUUUCUAGCAUAUGAACUCUACUGAUCGUUGUACAUACCACUUGGCGUAUGCUUGUGCCGUGUUGGAUUGACAUUAUAUUUUAACCCUAUUUCCCAUUAGAUGAAAACUCCACUGGCCUUGCUUUCAUGUCACGCAGUGUCCAAAUUAAACUAAGACCAGUCUGCGGAUGAAAACGUGUACGCCAGAGCUACGGCCUACGGGAACAUUCGUACGGGAUUGAAGUUACGGACGAGCGUGGCAAAUUGUGCGAAAUGGAUCCGUAAGAACAAGUCCGUAUGGGUUUUCCGUAAGUGUAGAAUUAUUGAGACGUACCCUAGGUCCCUAGCUAAUUGGAUCAUAAUUGUGAGGAGAACAUAACAUGCAGUCAUUUUAGCAUCGAUGACCAGUGUGUUUAAAGCAGAUAAUUAAUUAACAUGUACACUAGUUGCAGGCGGCAGAAAUAAUCAAGGUGGGCAUCAGUGCAUCAUGGACACUUGCUCCAUUUAUUCGCAACUAACGAUAAAGAUGUAGCACAAACAAUGUGUUGCCAGCUUUUUUCAUAAGGUUUCGAUGUAAUGGUCCGUUUUAUUUUGUGGGUGUUAGAGCAUCUACAGCCGGGCUACCUAAACCCGUCUCAUACGCCCGGGAGGACCGCCCGAUCACUGGCCAGUCAUCAAAUUCCAACCCAGAUGGGCGCCUCAAACGGGUCUCAAACACCCGGGCUGACCGGCACCCCUCAUAUCCAGCCCAAAUAUGGGUGGAUGUGGGGGCGCCCGGGAGCGUCCGCCACGUCGGACUGACGCUAGGGUUCCACAAGAAAAUAGUCCGAAAUCCGGCGUCCGACGCUCAUCCCCUCCAUCAAACCGAUGUCGCCGCGUGGCGCCGCUUCGGCGGGCCGCGUACUGCCUAGCCUGGCUAUUUAAGUCGAUGGCCGGCACCGAAACCCUACCCCUCCACAUUUUCCUCCUCCCGUCGGCCGUCGCCGCCACUGUCCACUCUCUAUCCGCCACCACUAGUAGCCAUGCCCCCACGCCGCCGGGUGAGGGGCUACCCAUUUCUAGCGCCGAAGCACCGGCUGUAGCUCCUUGAGCAGAUCCGGGCAAGGCCCGAAGCCCGGAUCGCCCGGGGCUACCUCCGGAUGCAGUGGAUCCGGAGGAUUUGGGGUUGGAGGAGGAGGUUGAGGCUGAGGAGGAGGGGUGUGGGGGACGCCGGGGACACGGAGCAACAGGCCAUCUUCGAUUCCCUCCGCUCGGAGUCAGAUGCGGAGGGCAAACACCGUCGUCGGCAGGAGAUGAAGGCGGAGCACGCCGCAGACGAGAGGAGAUGGUCGCCUACAUGGAUGAGGUCGAGGAGGAGCCGGAGCCCUCCUACGCGCCCGUCCACCCGGCGCUCGGCACCGACGUCGUGGACAUCUUCGACGACGAAGAUUAGCUAGGGUAAUACAUAGUAUGUAGUACGUAGGAUUUCUUUUGCAUGCUUUGUAUGGAUCUAGGGGUUGAAACUUGAGAGACUCGGAUAUAGAGUAGCAAAAUUAAGGCGUGAUCGGUCACUGCCCGCGGACACGCCGGUCACGUCCGCGGGCGUUUGAGGGAUCGGGUUUGUCAAGUCCGGAUGUAAAUGCUCUUAUGGAUUGGAAUUGAACAUCUUCAUGCAUGUGAAAUUAUUGUGUUAUAACUAAUGAAUUGCCUGUCCCAUAAUUCUUGAUGAAUAUUGGGCAACGUGGAAUAUGCCCAUGCGCAUGCAUACGUAUCAAUUAGCUAGCAGCUAGCAAGAAAAGCUCGACCAUUCAUAGCUGGCAUCUUUUAUUUGUAAGCACUCAUCCUAGGACCCGAUGGAGAUACUCUUGGACAGGAAAAACGACGUCUGAACAAGACGCUGGCGUGCAUGGUAGGAGGAUACCAUAGCUACGUAUACUACUGGAGGCCACGCGUACACUCCCUCUUCGAGCUACACCAAUGGACAGUUGUGAUCUUAGCUAGCCUUGAGGAUAUGCAGACGAAAAGGAAAAUGGACCGUGCAAAAUUUCCAACAAAGAUGGAGAGAAUGGACCACGCAUGUACUCCCUCCGUUCCAAAAUAUAAGUCUUUUUAGAGAUUUUAACAAGUGACUACAUACGGAGUCAAAUAAGUGAAUCUAUACUCUAAAAUAUGUCUACAUACAUCCGUAUGUUAUAGUCCAUUUAAAAUGUCUAAAAAGACUUAUAUUUAGGAACGGAGGGAGUAGAUAUCCUGCAUGUGAUCUUCAUAAUGCAUGCACGCGCGUGGGCGUGCACCAGCUAUACAACAAGUGCAACAAUACACAAGCAUACAGACCUGCAAAGAACUAUCAAUACGGCUGGGCAGCCAGCUAAAGAUGCAACAAUACGCAUUCAUAUUAAUGUAUUUACAGUGGUAGGUAGGGUACAUGCAUAAAUAAAAUGCAUGUAUAUACUCCGUCCGUAUCAUAAUAUAAGACGUAUCAUAAUAUCAGUGACAAAAAACGUCUUAUACUCCCUCCGUUCCUAAAUAUAAGUCUUUUUAGACAUUUUAAAUGGACUACAACAUACGGAUGUAUGUAGACAUAUUUUAAAGUGUAGAUUCACUUAUUUUGCUCCGUAUGUAGUCGUUUGUUGGAAUCUCUAGAAAGACUUAUAUUUGGGAACGGAGGGAGUAUUAUGUUACAGAGCAGUAUUAAUGUUUGCCAGUAGGACAAACCGGUGUACGAGCGAGCACACUGAUGUGUCAUCGUACGUGUACGUGCGUGAUACAUACAUUUUUCUUAGGACAGCGAACGUGAUGCAUACAAGCAUGAAGGGAUUGACGGGAUUACACGGAUGUCGACGGAUACAUGCACAGACAGGGCAUUGUAUGGUGACACUGGAAAGAAACUAAGAAGAAAACUGUGCAGUGGUACGCUAGCGGCAGCUAGCUGCUAAAAGCGCUACACUACGAGUGACACUCAUGCAUGAUGCAUGGGGGGGACCAUAUGCGUGGAAGGUGCGGCCUCACAUCACGUAGGGACAGGGGAUUAAUUAGUAUUAUUACGGAUUGGACCCUCUUAAUUAAUUGAUGGCUUGUCAACAAGGGUGGCCAGGGCUUGCGGGUUAACCACAGCCAUAAUUAAUCAAGGAUUUUCAGCAUAAUGAAGAUGGAUAUAAGCAGGAGGGUUAUCGAUAACUCGAUUGUGUGGACUAGGUGUGUUGUACAGGACAGGAGCAUGAGUGAAUCUUGUAUUAUCAUCAGUGGUGAAAGAGUAUAUAUGCAAACCUUUUGAAACAAAUUGUAGGCAAAAAAGUCUAAGGGUUGUGCUAUAGGUAUGAUGCACACUAUAUGGCUUUCUUACGUGUAUCCGAAAAUAAGGUGACGUGGCUCUCUCUCGUGCCACAGUUUGCGCUUAGCUUGACUAUACGAAUAAGAUCUCGGAGACUAGAGUGGUAGUGCGAGUUGCAGUCAUGCAUGUACAUAUCCGGCACAGCAUUAAUUAGGUUUUGUUUACGAAUUAAAAGGGGGUCAUGGAAAGUGAUGUUAUCGUGGAAAUGGAGCCCAGCCGUGCUGUCUGCUGUCAUGUCCUGCUAAAAGUAGUAGGGUAAUUUGGACCCCCCAACACUGAUAACCAACUAAUCAUGCAUUUGCAGCCUUUUGCCACUCCGAAAUUGUGUUAUUUUGUUAUCUUAACUUACAUGUUGACCAUAAUUAGGAGGUUAUGCAUGGACGAGAGAAGAGAGAGGAGAGAGAUGGGAGGGAAUCUGUCGGUUGGUACGUAUAUACUCUAUAUUACACGAAGAACAAUUGUGUAUUCUACAUCUUUGAAGCAUGUAUAGCGUAAGUACAUGUGACUUGUUAUCAUUUUCUUAACUAGCUAAGCUCUGCCCACAAACAAUGCCAUUUCUAUGUUGGGGGGUAGUUGUAUUCUCUUGAGAGUAUAAGGUUCAUCUAUCGUCAACGAACCUUUUCAUCUCAAUCAAUUUGGCCAUUGUAUACACGAAAUUGCAGAAUAUAUAUGGUCACUACGCUUCAGAGGUCCAAUACGUUACUAACACACCUCCUAUACAUAUUAGUGUAUGUACAUUAGAAUGGCCGGGCACCUUAGAUUUUUCCUACCCUCUCUCUACAGCCAGGCAGCCAUGGAGCUCAUGGAGGCCUAAGCAAAGCGACCGCCUGUGUAAUGCACGCUCUCUGGCAUGCCCCACCCAAGGGCGCCUGCGCCACUCUUGCUAUGUCGUCCCUGAUGUCCAUCCAUGACAGCACGGUACCUUGGCAUGGGCGGAUGUAACAGGUUGUGUUACAUGUCCUCUCCGAUAUCCUCGUGCCAAUUGACAUCUACGUCAAUCUCGUAUGUUGCCGAACACUACCACGUUGAAGCAUAUAUUGUCUUCCUCGACAUGUUUGUGUCAGCGCCCUCGCCCAUUACUCCUUGUCCUUAGCCGCAUACCAGUGAGAUCAUUAAACAUAGAUCUAGCAGCGCGAAGGUGUUGUUGUAUUGCCCAAUCUCUAGGGCAAGAAAUCUCAUCUCUCUCUUUUUUCUAUCUCGUGCACACUUCUUAUUAAUUGUUAUAAUGGUGAGGGAUGGAUGGAAGCUUAAAACUAAGGACAUAGAGUCACUAGAUGUGGUGCUAUAGGAGCAGCGUUUCACUGGUGCCAGCGAUCCUAAAUCGAACAACGUGAUGGCAACAUGGCGAGAGAGGGCAGAGAGUUAUGGGGACGGAGGGUGGAGAAGGCGAACAUGUGGAGCCCUUCUAACAUAUGUACAAAAUGCAAGCCAGACCAUAGUGAACUCCAUUGGCAACUUUAUUUGCAUUUUUCACUGCCCAAAGCUGAUCGGAAAGACAAGUUUGUUGACUGUAGAUGCAUUCUUACUCUGUGUAUACUCUUAAAAGAAAUCUACUAUUUGUAUAAGAGAUGUGACGAGUCUCUAUGUACAUCUGACUAAUCUCCAUCUUAACUUAUAACAUAUGCUCGUAGAUGAAUAACGUAGCUCGUUCUCCUUUUUUACAAUAAAUUUUAGCAUGUUCAGAGCAAAUGUGGAAACUUUUUAACCUCACAUUGAUAAUAGAAUCUUGAAAUCAUAUAAACCCUUCACAACAAAUUAUAUGAAACUUGGUUAUAAUAAUAUUAUAACAGACUUCAUAUUACCGUGUUGGAAUGAAACCAAAGCACCAACCAUGAGCAAUUUCUUGCGAUUAGAGAACAUUUAACAUGAUGUCGCCUUUCACCAAGAAUGCAACAUCUAUUACUGGUCUUGCAGGUGUCUUUCGUUGAGAGUGAAGGGAGAAAGAAAGAGACUAGAAUAGAAUUUAAGGUCGGACGCGGGCACUUUUCGAGCUACAUGGAUAUACUAGGCUGGAGAAAGUGAUGCCAAUCGCAUGAAAGCAAAUUCUCCAGAAUACUACAUGAAAGCAAAUUGAUAUAGGCCAUUUGUUUGCCAUGAAAAGGACGACGGCGAGAAAGCCAUGCAUGGAUCUCGUCCUUAAUUACAUAUUUUAAUCCUAGAUAGACUCCAUUAGGAAGGUAAGAGACAGCUACAAAUGGUUGGGCAAUCAUGGUGUAGUCUUGACAAACAAUUUAUAGUUGAUUAAAAAGGUUAUCCUAACUGCUGGCCACCGGAUCGGUGGAGAAGUGGGCGUGCAUGCGGAAAUUGUUCAUGUGUUGUCACACAUAUCCCAAAACGCAUCCACUUCGCAUAAAAGUAGAUACCGCUUCUUUCGGAGUGCAUGAGAAGGGGAAAUGGCAAGAGGGCCGUUCGAUUGAGCACGGUCACAAAACUCCUAAAAUCUUCACAUAGUUGCAGGACUCAGAAACGAGAACAUCGAAACUGUUCAAAUCGGCCGCCGAGAUACACAAAGGGCAAAAACAAGAGGCUAGGGUCACGAAAACAAAUUGAAAUCGACACAUCGCGCAUUUUAAUCAGGGCAGUAAUUAAAGCGCGUGCCCACGCUAUGCGAAUAGUAUUUGUAGCAUGUUUAGUAGAGUGGCAUUCGUGUGUGUUUGUGUGGCGUGGAAUGUAUGUCCUCUUGUACUUAGAAAGCACUCCUUGCCGCAAACCUAUGGCAAGCAGGCCAUGUUACCCCAGAUUCUUGCCGAUUACGCCAUUCUAUAGCGCUCACAUGCAUGCUUUACACAGAGGCAUGCAUUGGGGUUAUGUGGGAUACAGGAGGCGCAGAAUUGGCUACGGACGCAUGGAUACCACACACGCGCGCGCACGGCUGACAGCUAGCCACGGACAGGGACGAAGCACGGCUAAAAAGGGACGACAGCAGUAUUCAUUCACUUGCUCCGACCACGUAAAAUAAAGCAUCUUCUACGCAUACAGAUAGAUUAUUCUUUCUACCAGAAGAACAGAUAUAUACACAGAAAGAUAAAAGAUGCAUCUACACGCACAUGUUUGAGAGAAGUUUCACCGAUGUUCCGCGUCGCAUCGUCGUUGAAGUUUCGCCGUAUGAAUUGAGGGCAACUUUCAAGCGUUUCAUCCAUGGUCCGUCCGAAUUCAACGGGGAAUCGAGCGAGAGAGCGGGCAAGGGGAAGUGGCCGGGGUAGCUACCCCAGGCCCAGGGCAGCUGCCAACUAUUUGCGACAUGAACAUACUCAUUCGUAGGAGGUUUGUACAGUAGCUUAGCAGCCUAUACCGCGAGUGCGCGUCGAGUUGGUUGGCACACACGCGCGGGCGCGCGCGGCGUGGUCGCUUUUCCCCUUUGGCCCCAUAGCAGCCUCGCUAGCUGCAUCGUUCGCUCCAUCCAUCGAUGGGUAGCCACUGACUGUGUCUACAUGGGAGCAAUGGAUGGGUGGAUUGGAUUGGGUUGGACGGUACCCCUACCCCUACCGACGACGGCCCAGUGUCCUACGACUCUCUCUCCUCCCUCUUCUUUUCUCUCUCUUCUAGAGACUAGAGAGGAGAGGAAAUGAGACGAAAGGUACGCAUGCAGCAGUGUUGGCUUCGACGGGCCCGCCGGGCGUACUAUUGGAUGCCGUCCGUCCUGUUCUGAUCUCUUCUUUUAGCCCUCUUGAAUCCCGGCUGUACCGAUCAUUCGUUCAUCAUCGCCAGGACGGCAGGACCCAUGCAUCACAAAUUUAACGCCUCUCCCUCUCUCUCUCUCCUCUUUCUCUCUCAUGCAUAAUGCUGCUGAUCGUAACAAUAGUAUUAUCGUAAGCCCAAUUGGAACGGAUGAAUUGAAAAGUGGGGGAGUAAGUCACCUUGGGCCUGUGCCUGUGUGGUGCUGUAGGGAGGGAGGGGGUGGACCUAUGUCCUGUUGGGGACCCCGGAAAAGAUGCCCUCCCGUUCAUUCGUCAAACUCGCCCUACCCCCGUGAUCUUCUAAUGCCAGCCUUGCUAAUCGCCACGCCGCUGCCGUCCCUUAUCUCCCACCCCUUCUACAUAAUGCAUGCACCUGUAACAUACAGACGGAAGGAUCAUAAUUACGCCGUAAUACGCCUAUUUGAACGUUAAGCUGCAUCCUUACCAUGACAGCAGGGUCACCCGGAGUGUGCCAGUGAGCGAGCUUUCUCCUCCUGGCUCAAGGUGCUGGAGAAGAAAAGACACAGAGCCAACAAAUUAGUGAAUGGAACAUCUAGAGCAGUGCCCAGCAAAAGGCAGGUUGUUGUUACCUAAAAG
rnacentral:lncRNA from 1 species